rnacentral:rRNA from 1 species
ACGGGAGGCAGCAGUGGGGGAUAUUGCACAAUGGGGGAAACCCUGAUGCAGCGACGCCGCGUGAGUGAAGAAGUAUUUCGGUAUGUAAAGCUCUAUCAGCAGGGAAGAUAAUGACGGUACCUGACUAAGAAGCACCGGCUAAAUACGUGCCAGCAGCCGCGGUAAUACGUAUGGUGCAAGCGUUAUCCGGAUUUACUGGGUGUAAAGGGAGCGUAGACGGCAUAGCAAGUCUGAUGUGAAAGCUAUGGGCUCAACCCAUAAACUGCAUUGGAAACUGUUAAGCUAGAGUGUCGGAGAGGUAAGUGGAAUUCCUAGUGUAGCGGUGAAAUGCGUAGAUAUUAGGAGGAACACCAGUGGCGAAGGCGGCUUACUGGACUGUAACUGACGUUGAGGCUCGAAAGCGUGGGGAGCAAACAGGAUUAGAUACCCUGGUA